ACGUGACCCUAUUCCAUUUCCUUUUCCUUUUCCUUUCAUUUCUUCCUCUCUCCCUCUCACGCACAACAAGUAAUAGCCCUCCCCAUUUCUCUCUUCCUCCACCCUUCAUCACACACACACACACACACACACACACACGUUGAGUGGGAGAGAUCGAAAUUGAGAGAGAUGCAGAGAGAGAUGUCCAAAGAAGAGAAGAAGAAGAGGAGAAAUGGAUUUUCGGCCAUGGGUCUUUAUAAGCUUCAGAAGCCAAUACCCAAAAGCUUGAGCUUCUAGAUCCUUGAACCGGGGGAGCAGAUUUUUGCGUUGAUUGGGGAUCUCAUCGAGCUCGGUUCAGCUCAUUUCCUUUCAAGGCACAAGUAAAUGUCUACAACAAGUGAUUUGUCAAGCGGUCAUCCGUUAUGUAAGUGUGGAAUUCCUGCACGUCUAAGGUACUCUUGUACCACAUCCAAUCCCGCUAAAAAGUGGUAUGGAUGUAAUAACUACAAGAAAGCCGGUGAUUGUGAUUUUUUUGAAUGGGCUGAUAAGAAGAUGUCUGCAUACGAGAAGGGAUUAGCGUAAUAUCUGAAAGAGAUGGAGGAGAGAAGACAGGCUGACAAUGACAAAGUUGAGGAAUUAAUUGAAAAAAAAUGCAAGAAACAAUUAGCGCAACAUUUGAAAGAAAUGGAGGAGAAAGUUGAGGAAUUGAUUGAAAAAAAAAUGUAAGGAAAAAUUAGCGCAACGUAACGAGAAGAUGUUUCAUGUUUUGUUGUUAGUUGUCAUUUUGCUGUUAGCCUUUUAUUUUUGUAGUUAUAGUGAACCUAGACAUACUAACUUGAUGUUAAAAUGAAAUUAUGAAAACAAUUCAGUUGUAAGAGACUUUUUUCUGUUUGUACGAAUUUCCUAAAUGUAUGUUAAACUUAA